CAGCCCUAAACGAUGCGCGUUAGGUGUAUCGGUGACCACGAGUCACCGAGGUGCCGAAGGGAAACCGUGAAACGUGCCGCCUGGGAAGUACGGUCGCAAGGCUGAAACUUAAAGGAAUUGGCGGGGGAGCACCGACAACGGGUGGAGCCUGCGGUUUAAUUGGACUCAACGCCGGGAAGCUCACCGGAUAAGACAGCGGAAUGAUUGCCGGGCUGAAGACCCUGCAUGACCAGCUGAGAGGAGGUGCAUGGCGUAGACGUCU
rnacentral:rRNA from 1 species